UUGAGUCGAUGACAUCUACUUACAGAGACACUGGGGGCGGGGACGGUCCCAUGUGCCAUCUCCCUGGCAGCUGAGCACCGGGGUGCCCAGGAGGUAGAAGCCGUGGUUGCAUUGGUAGCAUCGACUGAACAUCUACUGAAUGGAGGGCACCUGGUCUACAUUAAGGCAGUCAAAGCCCAGCUGAGUUGAGUUGGAAAUGACUAUGCACAAACAGGUGAUUUGGCUAAACCCACCUUUCCUUCUCCUUGAGUGGCAAGAGACACAGACAACUUAACCUAGGCCCUAAUAAAAUUACAGUAAAGACUGGUAAAGCAGAAGAGCCUAUAACAAAAAGCAAAAUGGGAGGGUCAGCAGCAGAGGAGACUUAAAAUAAAACUUCGGAAGAUAGAUUGUAGAUAGAAGUGUGCUGAGAAUGAAGUGGAGCUGAGAAGCUGCAGGUGAGACCAGUUCUCCUCCAUCCUUUCCCACAAAACCAGUGAAGAGGCAUUCAGGCAUCUGUUCCCUACAUAAAGGAGAGAGGGUUGUCUUUCUUCCUAGAGGAAAAAAAUAGGAACUCCCUUGAAAGAAUCAGGGCUGCUAAGGUGUGAGUUGGUAUCCCAGAGUAAAGUUCUUUUAAUUCGAGGAUAUAAGGGCUCUUAGCCUCAAAUCUGCCCCCUGCCUGCUCAUCUCUACUACACACUCAAUUUAACUUCUUAUUCAUGUGAGAGACCUAGUGGGUAACGAUAUCUGUAUAUAAUCGCAACAAAGGUAGCCCACAUCUGCUACCUGGAAAAAUUAAUCUAGACUUUCCUUUAAAAUAUGAAUGAUCAAGGAUCACUAUAUAUGUGAAGAAAACCAGUAGUAUGAAAGACAUAAAGAUAAGAUUAAAAAUAGAA